rnacentral:SRP_RNA from 1 species
GCGUGGUGGCACACCACCCCCCGCGUAGUCCCAGCUACUCGGGCAGCCGAGGCAGGCGGAGCAUCUGAGCCCAGGAGCACUGCACGGUAGUGUGCUGUGCUGACCAGCUGUCUACACUAAGUUCAGCAUCAAUAUGGUGACAUGGUGGGGCCGGGACCACCAGGUUGCCUAAGGAGGAGCGAACUGGACCAGGUCAGAGGCAGAGCAGGUCCAAACUCCCCUGCUGAUCAGUAGUGGGAUUAUGCCUGUGAAUAGCCACUUCACUCCAGCCUGGGCAAUUGCAUGACCUCAUCCUAA